rnacentral:rRNA from 1 species
UACGAAGGGGGGCUAGCGUUGCUCGGAAUCACUGGGCGUAAAGCGCACGUAGGCGGAUCUUUAAGUCAGGGGUGAAAUCCUGGAGCUCAACUCCAGAACUGCCUUUGAUACUGGGGAUCUCGAGUCCGGAAGAGGUGAGUGGGAACUCCGAGUGUAGAGGUGAAAUUCGUAGAUAUUCGGAAGAACACCCGUGGCGAAGGCGGCCGGCUGGCCGGAUCCGACGCUGAGGCACGAAGCGUGGGAGCAAACAGG